rnacentral:rRNA from 1 species
GAUGAACGCUGGCGGCGUGCCUAAUACAUGCAAGUCGAGCGAACAGAUAAGGAGCUUGCUCCUUUGACGUUAGCGGCGGACGGGUGAGUAACACGUGGGUAACCUACCUAUAAGACUGGGAUAACUUCGGGAAACCGGAGCUAAUACCGGAUAACAUUUGGAACCGCAUGGUUCUAAAGUGAAAGAUGGUUUUGCUAUCACUUAUAGAUGGACCCGCGCCGUAUUAGCUAGUUGGUAAGGUAACGGCUUACCAAGGCAACGAUACGUAGCCGACCUGAGAGGGUGAUCGGCCACACUGGAACUGAGACACGGUCCAGACUCCUACGGGAGGCAGCAGUAGGGAAUCUUCCGCAAUGGGCGAAAGCCUGACGGAGCAACGCCGCGUGGGUGAUGAAGGGUUUCGGCUCGUAAAACUCUGUUAUUAGGGAAGAACAAAUGUGUAAGUAACUGUGCACGUCUUGACGGUACCUAAUCAGAAAGCCACGGCUAACUACGUG